GCUUGUCUCAAAGAUUAAGCCAUGCAUGUCUACGAACAGCGAUACUCUCACAAAUCUGCGAACGGCUCCGUAUAUCUGUUGUCACCCGCCAUCAUCCGUCCGGGAGAUGCAAAUACCUCCCGGCAACGGAUAACCACGGUAAUUCUGUGGCUAAUACGUGUGUGAAUAGGGGCUGGGGCGUAAGCUCCGGUCCUUGGGCUUGCCACUGUCAACUGCGCCGGGUAAAACCGUCGUGCGUGAUUGCAGGCAAGUUCCCCUACCGGCCAAUUACAUGGCCGGAGUGUAUGACGGGCUUCAGACCUAUCAACUUGUCGGCCGGGGAUAGCCCGGCCGUGGUGACGACGGGUACAGAGGAUCAGGGUUCGAUCCUGGAGAGGUAGCCUGAGAGAUCGCUACUACUUCUAAGGAAGGCAGCAGG
rnacentral:rRNA from 1 species